rnacentral:rRNA from 1 species
UACGGAGGAUGCGAGCGUUAUCCGGAUUUAUUGGGUUUAAAGGGUGCGCAGGCGGAAUGUCAAGUCAGCGGUAAAAUUUCGGGGCUCAACCCCGUCGUGCCGUUGUAACUGUGUCCCUUGAGUGCGCGAAGGGUAGGCGGAAUGCGUGGUGUAGCGGUGAAAUGCAUAGAUAUCACGCAGAACUCCGAUCGCGAAGGCAGCCUACCGGCGCGCUACUGACGCUCAUGCACGAAAGUGUGGGUAUCGAACAGG